rnacentral:misc_RNA from 1 species
ACGACCGUCAAGCCUGGCUUGGUGUUGGACGUCGGUCGUUGAGGCCGCGUCCCAAAGACAUUAGCGGUGUCGAUUCAGACCUCGGUGCAACGAGCUCCACGAGCACGCACCGCAUGGGCUAUCGGCGCCCGCCUAGACCCUUUAUUUUCUCAGG